rnacentral:rRNA from 1 species
AGACAGCAGUCGCCGCGGUAAUACGGAGGAUCCAAGCGUUAUCCGGAAUCAUUGGGUUUAAAGGGUCCGUAGGCGGUCUUGUAAGUCAGUGGUGAAAGCCCAUCGCUCAACGGUGGAACGGCCAUUGAUACUGCAGGACUUGAAUUAUUGGGAAGUAACUAGAAUAUGUAGUGUAGCGGUGAAAUGCUUAGAGAUUACAUGGAAUACCAAUUGCGAAGGCAGGUUACUACCAAUUGAUUGACGCUGAUGGACGAAAGCGUGGGUAGCGAACAGGAUUAGAUACCCGAGUAGUCCCUGUCUCUUAUAC